rfam:Phycomyces blakesleeanus NRRL 1555(-) unplaced genomic scaffold PHYBLscaffold_2, whole genome shotgun sequence.
GGUUUCGUGAUGUAAUGGUUAGCAUCUGAGAUUCUGAUUCUCAUUAUCCGAGUUCAAAUCUCGGCGAGACCU